rnacentral:sRNA from 1 species
GCUGGGUGUGGUAGCUCACGCCUGUAAUCCUAGCACUUUGGGAGGCUGAGGCAGGCGGAUCACCUGAGGUCAGGAGUUCAAGACCAGCCUGGCCAACAUGGUGAAACCCUGUCUCUA